rnacentral:rRNA from 1 species
GACGAACGCUGGCGGCGUGCUUAACACAUGCCAGUCGAACGGAAAGGCCCUGCUUUUGUGGGGUGCUCGAGUGGCGAACGGGUGAGUAACACGUGAGUAACCUGCCCUUGACUUUGGGAUAACUUCAGGAAACUGGGGCUAAUACCGGAUAGGAGCUCCUGCUGCAUGGUGGGGGUUGGAAAGUUUCGGCGGUUGGGGAUGGACUCGCGGCUUAUCAGCUUGUUGGUGGGGUAGUGGCUUACCAAGGCUUUGACGGGUAGCCGGCCUGAGAGGGUGACCGGCAACAUUGGGACUGAGAGACGGACGAGAGGCCUACGGGAGGCAGCAGGGGGGAAGAGUGCACAAUGGGCGGAAGCCUGAUGCAGCAACGCCGCGUGCGGGAGGACGGGCGUCGGGUUGGAAACCGCAUUCGCCGGUGACGAAGCGUGAGUGACGGGAAUGGGUAAAGAAGCACCGGCUAACUACGUG